rnacentral:rRNA from 1 species
GUGCCAGCCGCCGCGGUAAUACCGGCAGCCCAAGUGAUGGCCGAUCUUAUUGGGCCUAAAGCGCCCGUAGCUGGCCACGCAAGUCCAUCGGGAAAUCCACCUGCCCAACAGGUGGGCGCCCGGUAGAAACUGCGUGGCUUGGGACCGGAAGGCGCGACGGGUACGUCCGGGGUAGGAGUGAAGUCCCGUAAUCCUGGACGGACCGCCGAUGGCGAAAGCACGUCGCGAGAACGGAUCCGACAGUGAGGGACGAAAGCCAGGGUCUCGAACCGGAUUAGAUACCCCGGUAGUCC